UGGGGAAUAUUGGACAAUGGGGGGAACCCUCGAUCCAGCCAUGCCGCGUGUGUGAAGAAGGCCUUAUGGUUGUAAAGCACUUUAAGCGAGGAGGAGGCUACUUUAGUUAAUACCUAGAGAUAGUGGACGUUACUCGCAGAAUAAGCACCGGCUAACUCUGUGCCAA
rnacentral:rRNA from 1 species